rnacentral:lncRNA from 1 species
AAAUGAAAUAGUAUACAUCUUAAAUACACAAAAGUAUUCCCCGCAAUAAACCUCAUCUUAAUUGUACGUUUAACCCAAUAAUUUGAAAAUUAAAAACAAAAUAGUUAAAAAUAUUUAAUCCAAAAGGCCUCAAAAUAACAGUCAAAAUGGAUAUGCAACACGUAAACGUUAGAAACAUGGAGUAAUAUUCAAUCUUAUAAGCCAUUCGUUUUGCUUUGAACUCUAUUCAUUUAUAAAUCUAUUAUGAUCUGCUGUCUACCAGUGAAAUGUAGUGCAACAACUUGUUGACACUAGAUUUUUUGUUUUCAUUGGUGUCGCUUCAAAAAUGAAAUUAAUAAAUUCUGUAAAACAAAGGUAUUGGCUGUAACAUGUACUUGUCGGAUACCAAACAUUUAGUGCGAUGCAGAUAUAAAACUUCUUUUCAUGAUUAAAUAAAAACGACUAUUUAUUUAAUGGAUAGAAGGGCUUCAUGAGUAGACAUAACAUACAAUGAUAGUUGUUUUAUUGGCAAUUAUACCACAUCUUCUUUUUUAUAUAAGUGUAUAAUUUUAAAAUCCUUGGGAC